rnacentral:rRNA from 1 species
UACGGAGGGAGCUAGCGUUGUUCGGAAUUACUGGGCGUAAAGCGCACGUAGGCGGCUUUGUAAGUUAGAGGUGAAAGCCCGGGGCUCAACUCCGGAACUGCCUUUAAGACUGCAUCGCUUGAAUCCAGGAGAGGUGAGUGGAAUUCCGAGUGUAGAGGUGAAAUUCGUAGAUAUUCGGAAGAACACCAGUGGCGGAAGGCGGCUCACUGG